rnacentral:rRNA from 1 species
GACGAACGCUGGCGGCGUGCUUAACACAUGCCAGUCGAACGGAAAGGCCCUGCUUUUGUGGGGUGCUCGAGUGGCGAACGGGUGAGUAACACGUGAGUAACCUGCCCUUGACUUUGGGAUAACUUCAGGAAACUGGGGCUAAUACCGGAUAGGAGCUCCUGCUGCAUGGUGGGGGUUGGAAAGUUUCGGCGGUUGGGGAUGGACUCGCGGCUUAUCAGCUUGUUGGUGGGGUAGUGGCUUACCAAGGCUUUGACGGGUAGCCGGCCUGGGAGGGUGACCGGGCACAUUGGGACUGAGAUACGGCCCAGACUCCUACGGGAGGCAGCAGUGGAGAAUAGUGCACAAUGGGCGGAAGCCUGAUGCAGCAACGCCGCGUGCGGGAUGACGGCCUUCGGGUUGUAAACCGCUUUCGCCUGUGACGAAGCGUGAGUGACGGUAAUGGAUAAAGAAGCACCGGCUAACUACGUG